rnacentral:rRNA from 1 species
CACGAGAAAGUCUUCGGAUGAGUAGAGUGGCGCACGGGUGAGUAACACGUAGUGACCUGCCCCUUUGAAUGGAAUACUCAGAGAAAUUUGGGCUAAUACCAGUAUAAGCUGUAUGAAUCUGAAAGUAAUACAGGAAAUGAUGGCCUCUACUUGUAAGCCAUCGCUGAGGGAUGGGCCUGCGGGGCAUUAGCUAGUUGGUGAGGUAACGGCCCACCAAGGCUUCGAUGUCUAGCCGGUCUGAGAGGACGAUCGGCCACACUGGAACUGAGACACGGUCCAGACUCCUACGGGAGGCAGCAGUAGGGAAUAUUGCGCAAUGGGCGAAAGCCUGACGCAGCGAUACCGCGUGGGUGAGGAAGGUUCCUUCGGAUUGUAAAACCCUGUCACAGUGGAACAAUGGUAGUGGUUCAAAUAGGGCCAUUGCGUGAUGGUACACUGAGAGGAAGCACCGGCCAACUUCGUGCCAGCAGCCGC